UUCGGAAAAGGCUGCUGUCACCCAGUGACGGGUGGAAACCCAUUUAGGAACGUGGAAUUCACAAAGGCAGAGCGGGCGGGGUCAGGCCGGACCUCCCGCCGCGCCCGUGCCUUCUGCAAACCCUAGCGGGGCUGAGACUGCGCCUCCCGGCGCGACGGGUGCGGGAACCGAUGCGGGGCAGUGGUGGCCCGCCGCCCCUCCGUGGGCCGGGCGGAGCGGGCCGCCCUCACCGGCAUUUGUAGCCGUCGCGGCCAUUUUGGCUGAGGGCUCGAGGACAAAGCCACCUGGAGACCCCGGGGGAGGCGUCAUCUGGGCACGGUUGCGUAGGAGCAACGUUCGCGCGGCGCGUUGCCGCCAUUUCUUUCCGAGGGUCUGUGUCCCUUCGGCUGGCAGCUCUUGGUCGUUGGCCAGCGGGGUGGGCCCUCGAGGGGCCGGCUGCCGCGCUCCCGGCCUUCCGGCCCGCACCCCGGCCCGGAGGCUGCUUCUGGCGCGGGAGGCUCCCCGGACCCCGGCCCGGCACUUUCCAUGGCGCCGCCUCCGGCCCCGCUCCCCGUGGGGAAACCGGACGCGGCCGGGCGCGAGCGGAGGAGGCCGGGCGCCGUGUGCUUCGCGGACGUGGCCGUGUACUUCUCCCCGGAGGAGUGGGGGUGUCUGCGGCCCGCGCAGCGGGCCCUGUACCGGGACGUGAUGCGGGAGACCUACGGCCACCUGGGCGCGCUCGGGUUCCGAGGCGCCAAGCCAGCCCUCAUCUCCUGGGUGGAGGAAGAGGCCGACCUGUGGGGCCCGGAUGCCCGGGAUCCGGAGGUGGGACAGUGUCUGACGACAGCAGACACAGAUUCCAGAAACAAGGAAGAGAAAGGACAAAGAGAAGGGACUGAGGCACUAGAGAAGAUCCUCUCUGCGGAAGCUCGGCCUGCUGGGCUGACGACUCUGAAAUACCCUUCUGCUGGGCUCCCUUAUGGCUUGGAGCAGCCAUCCAAGGCACCUCGCCGGGGUCGCCCCCCACUCUGUGCCCAUCCCCCUGUCCCGAGGGCAGACCAGCGUCAUGGCUGCUACAUGUGUGGGAAGAGUUUCGCCUGGCGCUCUACCCUGGUGGAGCACCUGUACACCCACACGGGUGAGAAGCCCUUCUGCUGCCCUGACUGCGGCAAGGGCUUUAGCCAGGCCUCCUCUCUGAGCAAGCACCGGGCCAUCCACCGUGGGGAGCGGCCCCACCGCUGCCUGGACUGUGGCCGGGCCUUCACCCAGCGCUCUGCCCUCACCACUCACCUUCGGGUCCACACAGGCGAGAAGCCCUACCGCUGUGCCGACUGCGGCCGCUGCUUUAGCCAGAGCUCUGCCCUCUACCAGCACCAGCGGGUCCACAGUGGCGAGACUCCCUUCCCCUGCGCGGACUGUGGCCGUGCCUUUGCCCACGCGUCAGACCUUCGGCGCCACGUGCGCACCCAUACGGGCGAAAAGCCCUACCCGUGCCCAGACUGUGGGCGCUGCUUCCGACAGAGCUCCGAAAUGGCAGCCCAUCGGCGUACCCACAGUGGUGAACGCCCCUACCCCUGUCCUCAGUGUGGCAGGUGCUUUGGUCAGAAGUCAGCCAUGGCCAAGCACCAGUGGGUCCAUAGGCCUGGUGCUGGAGGGCACAGGGGCCGGAGUGCCGGCGGGUUGCCUGUGCCCUUGGCCCCUGGCCAAGGGGAGCUGGACCCACCUGUGGGCUUCCAGCACUACCCGGAAAUAUUCCAGGAGUGUGGGUGAUGGUGAUGGUCUGUAAGAUGGCAAGGCAAAGGGUGAAGGUCUAGGCAUUGCCUGAGGCCCAGGCUUAGCUCAGGGGCUUGAACCUCUGUGGCAGCUCCAGGGAGGUCACAGAAUUCUGGACAAGAGGUGGACCUGGGGGACGAGGACCAUCUUAUCUUAGGCCUUCACAAGCUUGAUCUGUUGACACCUUGCUCCCAGAUUCUAGAAGCCCCCUUUGCUGAGUUAGGGCUGAGCUAAGCACUUCCACAAGACAUCCACUGUGGGGGAAGAAAAGGCCCGUUUCUCAGCCUAGAUGUGUCAAGAGGAUUGAGGUAGAAGAGAACUUUAUUCUACCCGUUGUCUUUUUACUGCAGGGCUUAAAAACUGAUGGCCGUGUACUGAAUCUGGCUCGCAGCAACAUUUAAAACAUUACUUUUGGCCCAACCGGCAUUUUCAAGUGUCCCAAAUUCUUGGUUAAGAUUUAAAAGGAUGUUGCACGCAAAAAUUCAGGUUUCUGGGCUCUUUUGAAACAUCCAAAGAUUUGGCAACUUGACCUGCGCUCCCACGAAACCUCAAUUGGCAGGAGCCUAGGAGCAGCUGUCCAGCACGCCCACCGCUCCGUGUCACCUCCUGACUAGCAUCAGCUGGCACUUGUCAUUACUUGUCCAUGCCCCUGGGUAAAGCAGGCCCUCUUAUCUGGCAUUUCCCCCUCAUUUUACAUGACCUCUUGGUUCCCUCUAGUCAUUUGAGUUUGCAAACCGGUGCACAGCAUUCAUGUUCUCCUGAAUCAGGGAUUCAGGUAGCAUGUAUGUGAAAGGGUGGCAGGAGAGAAGUGAAAGCAGGCUUUAUUUCAGAUGUUUGCUGUAUCACAUUCUCUGAUUUACAAAGUACUGUCUUGUCCAUCAACUCAUUUUGUCCUCAUAACCACCCGAGGAAGGAACCAUCUUGCUUGGGAAGGACAGUCCAGUCAGGAAGAGGCUGUCAGGAUUGUAUAUUUUGCCCCAGACCGAGUGGUAUCUCUGUCAGGCCACGGUAUGACUCUCAGCUGACCGGCAGUUCCUGUGUUUGAAGAGGAAGGCUCUGAAUGUGCCCUCCAGUCUUUCUCGGGCCACCCCGGGAGAGCCCUUUUGCUCAGGCUUUAAGCCACCCUCGAGCCAGCGAGGAGGGCCUCGUCAUCUUUUUGAACUGGAAGGGAUCUUGGCUUUUCCAUCCUUUUUUCAUCUGGGGACUCUGAGACCGGGGGAGGCCAAACAACCUGUCCAAGGUCACAUACAGAGUGAUAUUCCAGGGUUCUUGGUCUACAGCUGUCUUGACCACAGCACUCCUGAGUUCCUUGCCAGUGUCUCAGCCAAGGUUCUGGAGGCAUCUGCUCACUCCCUAUAAUGGCUCCCAAGCAAUGACCUCGACUAGGGACAGAGGAACCCAGUAUCGGUGAAGCCCAGGCACAAGACGACUGACAAAACACACAUAGCAGAGCAAGGCAAGAGAGAAACCAGCCCAAGAUGAGAGUUCCAGGGCAAACAGAAGCAAAGCUUGCCUCUUCUCCUUUUUAAGUACUGCCCAUCAUGAACAAAGGGGUCAGGCCAGGAACAUGUGGGAUUAGCAGCCUAGGGACCCGUGCUCAUCUUUGUUCCCAAGCUGUAUCACCUGUGACUCCAUUAUCCAUCUACUACCAGUUCCUCUGUGGUCAAGUCCAGCCUUGCCCAGGUGAUGAAGGAGCCAGCCAGGAGCGGACCUGCCUCUGGCCAGGAUGACCCUUCACCUUCACCUCAAGGAGUAAUACCAGGGUCUUGUGUCUUCUGCUAGCCUGUAUGCACUUGCUCUCUUCACCCAACUCAGCCCCAGUCGUGUCUGGCCUACGUUAGGAAGAAACCAGAUUUGUUGUAAAGGAAGAGGUAGAAAAUUUGGUGAAAAGACACUGUUCAGGUGAAGUAAUCAACCGACUUGAUUCCAACUUAAUCUUCAAAUCGGACCCCACCAAGACCUGACUUACCCUAAGUUUUACUGGGAGGAUUGGCUCAUGAGCCACCUCGUCACAAGGGGGACGUGAAGUGAAAAGAGCACCUUGGCAACAGGAGCUACAUUUGUAUCAGCUUUUAAUUCCCUAGAGAAGCCAGUGUACAACCCUUCCCUUGCCUAAACCCUCAGCACUGCCUGGGGAAAGCCCAGCCUGCAACACCACUUGUCAGCUCAGCUUCAAAGCCAGAUCUGGACCCUGCCCGCAGCUUACCAAUUAAAGGAGAAUAGAAGAUGCCAUCUUUCCUCCUAACCACUUUCUUCCCUUCAUUUGUCUGAGAAGGCAACAAGAAAACACAAUCAUGGCUCCUGAUCACGCAUACAGGGAGAAUUUGGCUCAUCAACUGUCAAGAACACUACCAAAAUAGUUUCAGCAGCAAGGGUGAGAGAAAAAAAAAAAAGGGACAAGCAUUGGAUCCUAUGAAGUUGUCUUUCCAGAGUCACUUUUUCCUUGAUUCAGAACUCUGGUUCUGAAGUUCUGGUGUUCCUCAGGUUCCCUUCCUCUACAAGCUUCUAUCCCAAGUCAGACAGGACUGGAGAGUUCUUAGCUCCCUUAAAGGCCAGAUGGUUCUCUCCUUCUCCUGAACUCCAUCACCCUCACGUGGAAGUAACUCCCAGAGGAUCCCUGUCUCCCUGUGAGAAAAUCCAGGAACUAGGGACUAAGGAUCCCACUUCAGGGAAGGUGGAAGGGAGAAGCAGGUGAUAGAAAAGAAAGCCGCCUCCUUUCUGCGGGAGGAUCCGCCAACUGGCCCUUUCAGCACCAGAAACGUGUGGGAGAAAGGAAAGUGCUGGGAAAGGAAGUAAGCGGAAGACCGGGGUAGGAAGGUUGUGUGUCUCCAGGUCCCUGGCUUUCUUCAAAAAGGCGAGACAGAAUGAAAGCGCACCCACUCUGGUCAGAAGCCCUACAAGUGCCCGCACUGUGGCAAGGCCUUCGGUGA